rnacentral:lncRNA from 1 species
AUGGGUGCUAAUGCAUCUCAUUAUCCUCAUCCAUGUUCCGCGAAGGUAGGGGGAAAUUCACAGGCCCAACAGACUUUUAUAGGGACGUCAUCCUAUUCUCAGCAAGGCUAUGGUUGUGAAUCAAAAUUGUAUAGCCUUGACCAUGGCCAUGAGAAACCACAAGACAAAAAAAAGAGGCCGGGCACGGUGGCUCACGCCUGUAAUCCCAGCACUUUGGGAGGCCGAGACGGGCGGAUCACGACGUCAGGAGAUCGAGACCAUCCUGGCUAAUAUGGUGAAACCCUGUCUCUACUAAAAAAUACAAAAAAUUAGCCGGGCGUGGUGGCGGGCGCCUGUAGUCCCAGCUACUCGGGAGGCUGAGGCAGGAGAAUGGCGGGAACCUGGGAGGCAGAGCUUGCAGUGAGCCGAGAUCGAGCCACUGCACUCCAGCCUGGGCGACAAAGCCAGACUGUCUCAAAAAAAAAAAAAAAAAAAAAAAAAAAAAAAGACCUCUGGCCCUGCUACCUUCAAAAAGAACUUAAUUAAGCCUCGAAAAUCUGAUAGGUCUGCCGAUCAUGCCAAGCAGAUGCGAGAACUCCUCUCUGGGUGGGAUAUUAGAGAUGUCAAUGCAUUAGCGGAGGAAUAUGAGGGAAGGUCAGCAUUAAAGAAGCUUUCCCUACAAGCCAGUUUGGCUAGACCGGAAGCCCGGACAUUGCAGAAAGAUAUGGCUGAUCUUUAUGAGUACAAGUAUCGUACUGAUACAGAUUUCAUAUUUCAAGAAACUUGUUAUCCUGUUCAUCGUGCCAUUUUGGCAGCAAGGUGUCCAUUUUUUAAAUGCUUUCUUCCUCACCUGAGUAUGGGGCAGAGAUAAUAAUGGACAUCAAUACAGCUGGUAUUGAUAUGCCCAUGUUUUCUGCUUUGUUAUACUAUCUUUAUACAGGAGAGUUUGGAAUGGAAGACUCAGGGUUUCAAAAUGUCGUUAUCCUUGUUCAGCUUAGUGAAGAAUUCCCUUGAUGUAGAUAUGCGUGGACUCUUUGAUUACAUGUGUUAUUACGAUGUCGUCCUUAGCUUUUCUUCAGACUCUGAACUGGUUGAAGCUUUUGGUGGACAUCAGAACUGUUUAGAUGAAGAGCUCAAAGCCCACAAGGCUGUUAUUUCUGCACGGUCCCCAUUUUUUCAAAAUUUAUUACAAAGGAGAAUACCAACUGUUGAAGAAAUCACAGAUGGAACUUUGAGGACUCCCACAAGAAUUAUAUUAGAUGAGUCCAUUAUACCACAAAAAUAUGCAAAAGUGAUAUUACACUGUAUGUAUACCGACGCGGUGGACCUCUCUGUUUGGCACUGUAGCCCCUCUGUGGGGAGUCUCAGUGAAGUUCAGGCUCUCGUCGCAGGGAAGCCAAACAUGACCAGGGCAGGAAAAGCCAUGGAACUUUACCACACAGCACCGUUCUUGGAAUUUAACAUGCUUGCACAA